rnacentral:lncRNA from 1 species
UCACCAUCAGACAACAGGAAGCAGUUUAGAGAACAUAAUUCCCACAUUCCCUAGAUGUGGCACUAAUCUACUUCAUAAAAGGAUGAUGGGCAUUGAAGACACUCCAUAUGGUGUUUGCUUUCAUUGUGGCAAAGCUAACCAUUUGGACAAGAAACUGCUUUUGCCUUGACUGCUGACAGUAUGCUGUACAAGCUGGAUAAUCAGUACACAAAGGAAAAAGACUGCUGAACUUUGCCAAGACAAGGUGAGACCUCCUUAUAUAGUCCUGCUUCAUACAAAAGUGUGCCAGAUACUCUGCAGGACACAAAGGAAAGUGACUGCUGAACUUUGACAAGACAAGUUACUUGUAGACGUGAAGAAUAAUGAAGAAAAUUGGAGUCACCUGAUAUGUGCACUACCAUGAUGUUCAACAAGGUUACAGAGACUAGGUCUUUAUCGUUGGAUCCACCCCAGUCACCGGAGAUAGGACUUCUUUGAGAACUACAUGGUCUCAAGGGAAGUGGAUCUUGGAACCAAGGCACAUCUGAAGGCUGCUGCUGGCCACACUCUGCUGUUGUAACAAGUCUUACCUUCAAGGGGAUCUGGAUGGUAUUUCUCUGUGUCUAUCCCAUCAGGGAAACAAAACAAAGUAACCCCUGGUAUUGUGAAUGCAUUUUAACUUUCUGGCAUUGAUGACACAACUGGAAAAGAGUAAAUUAAAAUGUCUGGAAGAGAAAACAAGAAUAAAGUUCUUGACUUGAUAUUUUAUAAUAAAAAUAAAAAGCUUCAUAAUGACUGAGCUUCAUUAUGAGAUGGAAGCUGGGUUUUAUUUGCCAUAGGACUAAUCACAAACAUAGGCGUCUAACUCACAAGUGCUCUGUAGCAUUAUCAACCACUGUUUCUUUUAACAUAGGCCACAAAUCUUCCUCUGGCACCAAAAGGAGACGUGGGUUGCUUUCGAUUUUCUCCAGUCUGUCAUGUCACUUAACUGCCACAGUGAAAAAGCACUGCCUGCUCAGUCAGAGAAGACCUUUAGGGCCAUAUUUUCACUUCCUAUCUCCUGAAAUACGCACACACAUUUCAGCUACUGCUACUAAGACUGCUUCCCUGCCCUAGAAGGGGAGCAGCAGAGGGUUCUGCUUUUGAAAAUGUUUGUUUUCUUUUGUUGUUGUUGUUGUGGGUACCCUGAUAACAUUGUGCCUCUUUAGAGUCUGUAAAGAUGUUUUCUG